UGUCAUUCCAAAUUUAAAAGGUUUUUUUUUCUUUCAUUAAGGGAAUAUGAGGUAUGAGUAAAGUGCAGAUGAAAGCUGGUAUGAGUAACGCUAAAGGUAUACAAAAUGUGCAAUCACAGAAAUCAGCUGCCAGUAAUAAAACGG